rnacentral:rRNA from 2 species
GAAUGCGAUCAUGCCACCUCACGUGCUUCGGAUCCCAUAAGAAGGCUGAAGUUAAGCGAGUUUGGGUGAGUAGUACUAGGAUGGGUGACCUCCUAGGAAGUCCUCGUGUUGCAUCCC